rnacentral:tRNA from 1 species
GGUGCUGUGGCUCAAUUGGUAGAGUGCUAGCCUUGAGCUGAAGAGCUAGAGACAGCGCCU